CCUACGGGAGGCAGCAGUGAGGAAUAUUGGUCAAUGGGCGCUAGCCUGAACCAGCCAAGUAGCGUGAAGGAUGACUGCCCUAUGGGUUGUAAACUUCUUUUAUAUGGGAAUAAAGUGCAGUAUGUAUAGUGCUUUGCAUGUACCUUAAGAAUAAGCACCGGCUAACUACGUGCCAGCAGCCGCGGUAAUACGUAGGGUGCGAGCGUUAAUCGGAAUUAUUGGGGGUAAAGGGUGUGCAGGUGGUUUUGCAAGAUGGAUGUGAAAGCUUCGGGCUUAACCUGGGAAAGCCAUACAAGACUGCAAGACUAGAGUGCGUCAGAGGUGGGUGGAAUUCCAAGUGUAGCAGUGAAAUGCGUAGAUAUUUGGAAGAACACCGAUGGCGAAGGCAGCCCCCUGGGACGCAACUGACGCUCAUACACGAAAGCGUGGGGAGCAAACAGGAUUAGAUACCCGGGUAGUC
rnacentral:rRNA from 1 species